CACACACACACACACCACACACACACACACACACACACACACAGAGAGAGAGAGAGAGAGAGAGAGAGAGAGAGAGAGAGAGUUAGUUCCAGGACAGCCAGGACUAUACAGAGAAAUACACAGAGAAAUUCUGUCUUGAAAAACAAAAUUCAGUUAUUUUGUUUUUGUUUUAUGUAUAUGAAUGUUUUUACCUGCAUGUAUGUGCACCUCAUGUUUCUGGUGUCUGUGGAGGCCAGAAAGGGGAAUCUGGAUCCCCUGGAACUAGUUACAAAUGGUUGUGAGCCAUCUGCCAUGGGUACCGGAAACCCCAUGCUCCUCCCUUUGGCAUUUUGAGAGGGGACCUAGCCAUGUUGUCCAGGGUGCCUUGAAUUCUCCAAGAUUCAACUGCCUAAACCUCCUGAAUGCCAUUAUGUUACUGCUAUGUCUGGCAUGAACUAUUAGCCUGGCAUGAACUAUUAACUUUCUUUUUUAUGUUUAUUUAUUUUGCGUGUGUGUGUUCACAUGUGUGGGCAGGUUUGCCGUGGUGAAUGUAUGGAAGCCAAAGGACAGUCCACUCCAUUCUCUUUCUUCUUCCAACACGUAGGUCCUGGGGAUCAAACCCCAGUAGUCAGUCUUGGCUGUUGUGUGUUUAUGUGCUGAGCCAUCUUGCCAGCCCUCUUAAAAGAUUAGAAAAAAAUUCUUAGACUAUUUCAUUCAUGUAUAUAAUGUAUUUCGGUUAUUUUGUCUCCAUUACCUUCUCUGUUCUCUCAUAUCCUUUGUAAAACUUUUUCUUCCCAGCAUGUCUGCUCCCUAUUUUCAUAUAUAUAGAUGUGUGUAUGUGUGUGUAUGUAUGUAUGUAUGUAUGUAUGUAUGUAUGUAUGUAUGUAUGUAUACACACUCUUGUUUUUAAGGCUAGAGAAGAAGAUUCAAAGCUUCAUUCAGUAAAGUUUUUUUUUUUUCUGAAAUUAUGUAAUGGUAAGUGGUGAGUGAAAAGACUUCAUAAACCAUUUUUGAUAGUAGGUGUCUAUAAAUCAUUCAUGGUGCUUUCAGAGAGUUUGGAAAAUACUGGUGGAAAUAAGGCAGCAAAACAACCCAGCUUUAAUCCCUGUGGGUUAACAUUUUCAUAUAUUUUCUUUCAGCAUUUCCAGGCAGAUAAUGUAGUCUGAUGCUUAAAAUCUGGGCUGGGGCUGUAACUCAUUGGCAAAGGGCUUCCCAGCAUGCAGAACACCCUGAGUUCCUGGUACUCGGAAGUUCAAGGUCUCCUCAGCUGCACACCUGAGCCUCAGGCUAGCUAGGGAUUUGAGAAACCCUGCAUUUAAAAAAAGAAGUGAAAAGACAGAGAAGUUGGAGAGAGAGAGAGAGAGAGAGAGAGAGAGAGAGAGAGAGAGAAGGAGGGAGGCAGAGAGAGCAAACCCCUUUAAAAUCUGGAGGCCAACUAUAUGGUUGUUUUGUAUGAAUAUGUAUGUUUUGGCAGUGUCCUGGUAUCAGGCCUGGAGAGCAAAUACUGUAUGAAGUACAGCUGAACCUGGCUUCUUCAGCCACUGGAAAUAACAGUGACUUUUAGGGCCUGGGAGAUGGACCUGGAGUUCUGCACCGCUGUCUGAAGACCCGAAUUCAGCAAAUAAGUCAAGACAGACCUGAGUACUCAGAAUGUGGUUUGCUAUCUUGCCCAGUACAUUGUCUUUGAAUUUUUUUCAUGUACUGGGCACAGUUUAGUCAGGUAUCGUAAUUACUUUGUCCCUGAUUAUUAAAAUAUAACUUAUUUAUUGUUUCUAACUGCUGUAAAAGCUUUGGAUAGAAACAUACAUACAUAAAUCUUUGAACACAUCUCAGAUUUUUUAAAAAGAUAAAUUGCUGGAGAGAACUAAAGAGAGUGGACUUUUUUUUUUUUUUUUUUUUUUUUGAGACAGGGUCUUAUGUAGCCCAGCUGGCUUCAAACUCACUAUAUAGUUGAGACUGGCUUUGAACUUCUGAUCCUCCAGUCUCCACCUUCCAAGUGCUGGGGCUACAGGGACACAUCACCAUCCCAUUCUCUUUUGUUCCUGUUUAUAAUCACCUGUGAGCACCGUGAGCACGUGAGAGUACUCUGCUAACUCCAGCAGCCUCAGUGUGAUCCUAAAUCAAGAAGUGGGAGGGAGGGCCCUGGGUGCUUGGGAGGGAGGGCCUUGGGUGUCUGGGUAGAAUGAACUGUCUUCUAUCACAAAGCACAUGGAAGGCUUUUCUGGGGCUUGACUUUUUUUUUUUUUUUCCUUACUACAAGAAGGGUUUACAUUUAAGCUGCAUGAUGGCUGCUACUUGAUACUGAACAAGAUCUUUGGAGCUUACUUAUAGGCUAUGUAGAUGACUUAAAUUGUUAUUUUUAUAAAUGAUACUUGCAGAGUUAGACUUUCCUCAUGUAUUCAUAGGAUCCACUUUUGGGAGGAAAAUUUGGGGGAUGUGGUUUCUCUGCUGCUAGUGUAGACCGGAGCUUCCUUCCUGACCAGGGGCCGCUGUAGGGUACCUGGUCCAGGUCAACACACCAGCAUCAUUCUUAUAAAAAAUGACAUAUUUUUAAAAUCGCGUGUGUGCAUGAGUGCGUGUGCAAAAAUGUACAUGUGAGUGAACACUGAUUUAUUUUAUUUUCACGUGUAUGAGUGUUUUGCCUACAUGUAUGUGCACACAUGUAUGUAGUGCUCUUGCAGGCCAGAAGAGGGCAUUGGAUUCCAGACUGCUGGAGCUGGCGUUGCAGGUGGUUGUGAGCUGCCUGCCACGUGGGUGCUGGGACCCACACUUGGGUCUGGUGCAAGAGCGUCACGUGCUGUGAACCACUGAGUCGUGUCCCCCAGCAUCAGUCUAGAUUCGUAAGAGUUAGUGCUAUUAAUAAAUACCUAAUAGUCUUUUCAAAAGAAUGUGGUUUAUUCUUUUUCUUUUUUAACUUAUAUAAGGAAAUAAAAAUUACAGUCACUCCUUGCAGUGUGAGAAAUAUUAGACUUGUUUUAUAUGAAGUGAUGUACUGAAAAAAUAGUUCAACACGCUAGAGAGAGUAGAGAUAAUGAAAAAAAAAACUACUGUUAGAGAUGAAGACUCUGGUAAUAGCAAGGAAGUGGCUCCUCCUGGUAUAUUUUUAAUAAUAGUUAUUUUGUUGCAAUGUUCGCAUGGUUGAAUGCUUUGUGUGUAUUUAGCUUGCAUCUUUUGCUUUAGAGUUCACCCAGUGUUCAUGCUGAAAGUACUUAAAUAGGUAAAGUCUGGCUGUGCAAGCACAGUGACCUGAGUUCCAGCCAUAGAAUCCAGAUGAAAGUAGAAAAAGAGAAAGAACUGACCACUCGGAGUUGUCCUCUGACUGCCACAUGCCCACAGGGGCACACCUCCUCCCCACACCCUGAAUGAACACAAAAUAAUAGAUGUUUUUAAAAGUCUGUGUACUGUUGGAGUUCUUAGUAUUUGAGUCUUUCCCAAAACUUUCUCAUGUCUGAUUUAAGAAAGACCUGCCUGUGUUGCUGGGUCACAGCUGUGCUGUGAUGAUGAUGGGGGCUCAGCUCUGCUGUGAUGAUGAUGAGGGCUCAGCUCUGCUGUGAUGAUGAUGAGGGCUCAGCUCUGCUGUGAUGAUGAUGAGGGCUCAGCUCUGCUGUGAUGAUAAUGGGGGCUCAGCUCUGCUGUGAUGAUGAUGAUGGAGGCUCAGCUCUGCUGUGAUGAUGAUGGGGGCUCAGCUCUGCUGUGAUGAUGAUGAGGGCUCAGCUCUGCUGUGAUGAUGAUGAGGGCUCAGCUCUGCUGUGAUGAUGAUGAUGAGGGCUCAGCUCUGCUGUGAUGAUGAUGAGGGCUCAGCUCUGCUGUGAUGAUGAUGAUGAGGCUCAGCUCUGCUGUGAUGAUGAUGGGGGCUCAGCUCUGCUGUGAUGAUGAUGAUGAGGCUCAGCAUAAAAAUUUUAUCAAAGUCCCUUUUACAGUUCUUAAUAAGUUUAAGGCCUUUUUUUUUUUUUUUAAGUAGUCCGUAUCAUGCCAGAUAAGUUUAUACACUCAAGCUCCAUGUGCUCAUGGCAGAGUGACCUGGGGUGGGGUCCUGCUGGUAACCCCAGACCCUCGGCCAAUCCAGGGGUAGGAAAAAGUCCCCCGUGGCUCCCUGCAUACCAUGUUGUGGAGCACAGAAAGACAGGCAGCCAGGCUGAUGGCGGCCUUCCAGCCAUGUUUCCUCAGAGCAGGCCUCAAGCCAGGACCCACGGCAGGACGGCAGCUGGGGCAGAAACAGCCCCAGUUGGCAUGCCUGAUAUACCCAAAGGUGGGAAUAGAAACGGGGUGGCGUUGUGGAUCCUGAAUUGAAAACCAAUGAUAACACAGAAUAGACAGGAAAAACUGAUGCCAACCCAAUCAGCUGGCAGCGCUUAUAAGGCAAUGGCGCCGGGAAGACGGGCGGUAGACCCUGGCAGCUAAAUCACUGCUAACUGAGGAGGAUCCAAGUCCUUGGCCUCCGUUUGUACCUCCUGGGUGUCCUUAGCGCAGCAGUCUGUCCUCUGGGCAUCUGCCGAUCACAUUUCAGGUGGCGCCAGGUGCUCAGAACAUCAAGAAAAGACCCCUGACCCAUGCAUGCCAUGUGCGUGGGCAGUAGGGACAGAAAGAGAUGCUUAACAAACACACAACACAAAUAUGAAACGUGGACAGACUUAGACAGGACAGAUAUUAGACAGGACAAACCGCGGCAAAGAAAUGGUGCCCAAAACCAAAAUUACAAACAACCCUUGGACUUUCGUCCAGGGCGGAAGUCCGAAUUACAAAUUACAAAUUACAAAUUCUGCACAGGUCAAAUCAAGUCAUGGCACCAAACCAACAAAACAGCAAAUUCAAAUUCAAGUCAUGGCACCAAACCAUCAAAACAAAACAGCAAGAGACAUAACAAGCAAACAUAUAACAUUGAACAUAUAAGUUGGGAGCUCGAAUCAUCUUACCUCCAAGAUCGAAUCCACUCAGGUGAGGGGUGGUCCCAAAUCUCGGACGAGCCCCCAAAUGUUAGACCCCAGGAAAACUCAAGUAUCCGGGAUUCCAGGCCACGACUGUGGUCACCUCAAUCACCAGGCGGAUUCGAGAGCUUGAUGCAAACUGCACGAGGCUUUAUUGUAAUUGAACGAGCUAACCCCAUGUUAGCUCGGGUCUUUCACCCACCCGCUAUGGCGGAUGGCUAGCAAAAGACGGCUCCUAGGGGCUCCCGAGAGAUCUUAUAGGACAGCGUAAGGGGAGUGUCUAGGGGUACGCACAGGCUCACGAUUGGUGUGCCUCCAGGCUUGGAGGGCUUGCCCUGUGUUGAUUGGUCAACUGGUUGUUAUGGCCCAUAGGCCCUCCCAGGGUGGUUGCUAUGCUCUCUACGUCAUUGCUGUGCGCUUGUCUGUAAAGCACACCCAGGGUCGUAAAGCAUAACGCCACCAGCUAACUUCUGAUUGGUUCCUUGUCACGAGACAGGCAUCUGACUUUCUAGUGUCUAGGACAAGGUCAUAGAAGCUCGUGUUCGGCCGUUAUGGCUGCCAAAAGGGAAGCUGGUCCCUUCAUACUCUGUGGAGUUUGGGAAAGGCUCUAGGAAUCGGGACAUAGGACCUUGGGUUAUCUUUGGAAAGGUCUUGGGUUGUUCUCUUUAAAUAUUGAUUUGCCCUGUUAUUCUUCUCUUCUCUCCUGGGAUGCAUAUGUGAGGCAGGGUGACACCUGCUCUGACGCUGACACCCAUGUGUUCUGUGUUUCCUAUGGAUAGUUCUCCACAGGCCUAUCUUCAAGUCAUUUCUUCGGUUUCUCCUUUUUACUUACAAAUCCAUCUAUUCAGUUCUUAAUUUUAGUUGCUUCAGUUAUUUGGACACUGCUUGAAUUUUUAAAAACACCUGUAAGACCCUUGAAAAGCUGAGGCUUCCAGAAUCUUAGCCCAGGACGGCGGCCACCCCAAACACAGAAUGGAGGCGAAAGCUUGAUGCAAACUGCAUGAGGCUUUAUUGUAAUUUAACGAGCUAACCCCAUGUUAGCUCGGGUCUUUCACCCACCCGCCAUGGCGGACGGCUAGAAAAGACGGUUUGAAGCCACUGCGCACAGAUCUUUAUAGGGCAGCGUAAGGGGAGUGUCUAGGGGUACGCACAGGCUCACGAUUGGUGUGCCUCCAGGCUUGGAGGGCUUGCCCUGUGUUGAUUGGUCAACUGGUUGUUAUGGCCCAUAGGCCCUCCCAGGGUGGUUGCUAUGCUCUCUACGUCAUUGCUGUGCGCUAGUCCGUAAAGCACACCCAGGGUCGUAAAGCAUAACUUCUGAUUGGUUCCUUGUCACGAGACAGGCAUCUGACUUUCUAGUGACUAGGUCAAGGUCAUAGAAGCACAUGUUCGGCUGUUAUGGCUGCCGAAAGGGAAGCUGGUUCCUUCAUACCCUUUAGGUUUUUCUGAACAAUUUUUCCCAUUUUUUAGAGUUCUGUCUGGUCACUCAAAUAUUUGGACUCCCUCUGGCAUUAGCCUUUAUGGAUUGUAUCUCUUCAUUCAUUUGAUUCUACUCCAUGACAUUGCUUGGUAGUUUUUGCUUGCAUGCUGGACAUUUUGCAUGGAAACUGUAGAGGUUCUGGAGGCUGGCUCACUUGGUUCAGUUAGGCGUGCUCUACUUCUGAUUGCUUUUAUUUUGGGGAGUGCUUUUUAGGGUUCUUCUUCUUUCUUUUGGGUUCCUGUCUUGUUCACCUGUCACUGUGAAAACACUAAAACCUUAGCUUAACACUUUAGGUUUUUGUUUGUUGAAAUAGGUUCCUUAUUGGCCAAGGCUGCCCUCAAACUUUCUAUGUAGAUGAGAUUAGCCUGGAACUCCUGGAUCCAGGAGUUUAGCCCCAAGUGUUGGAGUUACAGGCCUGACACACCACAUCUGACUCUCUAGUGUUUUGAUAGCUUCUCUCUGCUUAGACCCCUUGGUGCCGACUCUGUCCACGACUCUGUCAACGAAAGACGGGAAUUGCUUGCAGAACAGAGAAAGGUUUCCUUUUUCUUUCAAAUCUUGGAGGUCUUCAUGACACUCAAGUACAAUUAAGAUUUUUUUUAGAUUUAUUUAUCUUGAUUUUACAUGUGUAUGUGUUUUGCCUGUAAUUGUAUUUAUGUGCACCUUGUGCAUGUCUGGUGUUUGAGGUGGUCAGAAGAGGACAUUGGAUCCCCUAGAGGUGGAGUUAUGGGUGGUUGUGAGCUGCGCUGUGGGUGAGCUGCGCUGUGGGUGCUGGGCCCUGAACCCAGAUCCUCUACAAGAGCAGCCACUGUGUUGAACUCUGCCAAGCUGCCUCUCCAGGUCUGAGCUCUAGGAUUUAAUCAGGCGCCUCCCUCUUCCUUCUUAGAUUGUUGCUUUCCCAUUUACCUCCGUGCUUCCUGUCCCCCUCAAUCCUGAGGGAAAACAUGCUGUGCUACUGAAAUGCACGAGCUCCACAUGCUGGGCUAUCCCCCAGUGCCAGGAGCCUGCUUCCACCUGUCCUCCACAUGCUGGGCUGUCCCCCCCCCCAGGAGCCUGCUUCCACCUGUCCUCCACAUGCUGGGCUAUGCCCCCCCCCAGGAGCCUGUUUCCUCCUGUCCUCCACAUUCCAUCCCUGUUACAGUGGCUCUGUAUACCAUGGUUUGAUAGAAGAUGUAUCACAAUAGUUGUGCAUGAAGUCUGAUUUUGUACUCUUUAAAAUUGAUAUAAGCAUUUUCCAUGUAAAAAUUCUAUUUAAAAAUUCUUGACUGGGCGUGGUGGCACACCCAGCGCUCGGGAGGCAGAGGCAGACAGAACUCUGUGAGUUUGAGGCCAGCCUGGUUUACAGAGUGAGUUCAAGGACAGCCAGGACUGCUGCACAGAGAAACCCUGUCUCAAAACAAAACAAAACAAAACAAAAAAAACAAACAAAAAAACGGGGGGGGGCAGAAUUCUUUAUUAGGAGCCUGGAAAGAUGGCUCAGCAGGUGAGGGUGCCUGCCAUUUUGCCAAGUUUGACAAUAGAGUUUGAUCCCUGGGACCCACAUAGAGGAAGAAGAUAACUGAUUUCCACACACUCACACACACAAAAUAAAUAAAUGUUUAAAAUAAUUCUUCAUGGGCAGGGCAGUGGUGGCACCCGCCUUUAAUCCCAGUACUCCGGAGGCAGAGACAGGAAAAUUUCUUUGAGUUUGAGACCAGCCUGGACAGGCUCCAAAGCUACAGAGAAACCCUGUCUCUAAAAAUAAAAAAAUAAUUUUUGUUCCCUUCCUUAUAGGCUGGAGAGGUGGCUCAGUGGGUGAGAGCACUCAAUGUGCAAGCAAGCUUGCGGAUCUGAGUUCAAAUCCCCAGCAUCCAUGUACAAAGCUGGGCAUGACUGAACAUGACUGUAAUCCCAGUGUUGGGAAGGAGAGACAGGUGGAUCCUGGGAGCUCCCUGGUCAGCCAGCCAGCGUCUCUGAAACAAUGAGCCUGUGAGAGACACUGUCUUAAAGGAGUAGGGGGAGAGUGACAGCGGCAGACACCUGAAGGCUUUCUCUGGCUUCUGUGUCACGCACACCGGCACACCCGUAUUGUAGCACACACAUGCAUGCUCCCCCUCUCUCUGAAAUAUUUGAAAAUAGUCAUACAACACCUCCCACUUGUCAGACAUCCUUUACAUGUUGCAUAAUCUGGACUGUAAUUCUCCUAAGAGUUCCGGGGUCUCAUGGUCUUUUUGAAGAGGGGUGAUCUGAAGCAGGCAGGAGGGGCAAGUUACCUGGCCACCUCGGUGGAUGAGCGCCAUUGUCUCAUUUAGCCUUGCUUCUUUUUCUCUCAGUUCUAGCUUGUGGGCGGGGAUCCCCAGUAUGUCCUGUGUUCUCAAUUGUUCCUGCUCUGUCUCUUCAGACAGGGUCUCAUAUAUUCCAAACUGGCUUUGUUGUGCUCUCCCUUGUUGUGUGGUGCCAGGGGGCGGGAUGAAACCCAGCUUCUGACAUGGGCCAAACAAGCACCACCAGCUGACCUGCACCCCAUGUACCCUCCCUCCACUGUGCCCUUAUUUGAGCACCAUUCCCCCUCUCCCCAUGCAGAGUAGUUGCUAGGGGAUGGAUACGAAGGUGGAGACAACUUGAGAAAGGAGAUUCUAGAAGGUUCCAAUACAGGAGUUGUUGUUGGCAUUAACCCUGACCACAUUUGGCUGCCUGGCAGCUUGUCAUGUGUCUGUUGUGGGGUUCUGGCAUGUAUUUAAUCAUGGGGUGAAUUUCUGCUUCCUCCCCUGGGUUUGACUGGCACAUGCUUUCGGGGCUCUUGCCUUUGCAAUUUAGAAAGACUAACUGUCCUUCCUUCCCCCAGUGUGCUUCAGGUAAGGGUCACGGGGUUGAAGUAGAGGGUUCCCUGCCUGGAUUGCCAGGCAGCCUAGCACUGUAGCUUGUAACCAGUAAGCCUUGUGAACUGCCUGUCUCUCUGUUCCUCUCAGAGUCUGGUUGCCCCAGUUCCUGGGUGCCAUUCCCAUUACCUCCUUUCAUUUUUCUUCCCUUUCCUUCCCCUCUCUCUAACUUUGUAUUGACCUAGAAUUUUUAUUUAUUUAUUUAUUUAGGCUUUUCGAGACAGGGUUUCUCUGUGGCUUUGGAGCCUAUCCUGGCACUCACUCUAUAGACCAGGAUGGCCUUGAACUCACAGAGAUCCGCCUGCCUCUGCCUCCCGAGUGCUGGGAUUGAAGGUCUGCGUCACCAACGCCUGGCUUGACCUAGAAUUUUACAGAUCUUAAAAAUCCCGUUUUCUGGUUUGUUUGUUCUCGAUAGGGUCUGGUUUAGCCCAGGCUGGUCUGGAAUUCACCGUGUAGCUGAGGAUGACCUUGAACUCCUGGUCCUCCUGCUUCUGCUUUCCAAAUGCUGGGAUGGCAGGUGUACACAUCAUCAUGCUCAGCUUAUUUGAAGACACAUGCUGUGAUAGGCAGGGUAGCACAUGCCUGAAAUUCCAGUACUUGGGAGGCCGGAGGCAGGAGGAUGGCUGCAUAGUGAGACUUAAUCUCAAAACAAAGACAAAAGCAAAUAUUCUAUUGAUUGAAUAAAAUUUGUCUUUGGCUUUUAGUCUAAAAAUGGUAUUUAAAAAUUUAAUGUCUGAAAUUGCUUGUCAUUGUUAAUGUUUUCUUUGGGUUAGCAGAACCAACCUAAAGGCUCUGUUCCUUGCUUUUUGGUGUGAGCGUGGGAUGAGGGAAGGUGACUCGUGUGGAUCUGGGAGUGUAGCCUGAGUGGGACUGGCUGCCAUCCUGAGGGCUGUCUGGUCCCCCAGGUUUGUGAUGACGAGAUAGCUUUAAGCUGUGCUUAUUAACCGG
rnacentral:lncRNA from 1 species